AAAUUGGCUCCUUCUGGUAUGGUCUCAAUGGCUUAUCACAAGCAUCUCAAAACCUUUAUCUAAUGGUGUGUGGUUUGUGCUUGAGAAACAUUGAAGUUAUUGAAGAGUUGGCUGUAUUGCACUGCUCAUCUGAUCUCAGGUGCUAAGAAGUUUUCAAAUCUGGGAUGGAACUGGAAAGAUAUUUAUUCUUGGUCAUUACCUAUUUGUAUCCAAAAAAGGUAGUCUUAGUUCUAAUGGAUGAGGACAGGAGCAGAACUGAAUCCUUGGACUUACUGCCUUUCCUGAGCAACAAGAUAAUGUGUGUGAAGGAUGACUAACAGUGAAAGAAGAUUGAUGAGAAAUUAGUCUUUGCUCCUAGAAGAUGACUGCUAAAUGAGAACACAGCCAGAACAGAAUUGAAAUAAUCUUCUGCAAAAAAGAUGAUCAAGGAACAAAAGAAAAUAAUUGAGUCUUCAUGUAAAAUCUUAAUAGGAGAAAUCAGUAUACUAAGUGACACAAAGUAAAAUACCAGCAAGCCAGUGCAAAACUUAAGUGAAAUAUAGUUCUGAUCCUGUGAGCUGAUUCAGAAACCGAUAGAAAGACUAGUUAUGAACUAUGUGUUAUAAAUACAUUUCCUUUAGAAAAUAAAGCAUGCAAAGUACUUGCCGUUACAAGGCUUUGGACAAAAUCCUGCAUGGUCUGAACUAUUUGGAGUAAUAUUAAUGGUAUGAACAGCUUAAGUAACUGAAAAAUUAGAAAUAUUUCUUACAAAACCUCUUCAAAAAGUCUGUUAGUCUAUCUGUUGGAUUAAAUAUAAGAUCACGUUGAAUGCAUAUUAAUGACUGCCUGUGAGAAUGGAGUGUAAUAUGCUGCUUUUCUUCUGCCUUCCCUCUUCACUGCUUCUUUGUUCUUUGUAGUGCAUUUAAAAAUCUGUUUAAGCACAUACAAUUUCUAUUCUCAUUAUUAAAGUUCUUUCCAAAAUUCACUUUUUCUUCAGUAGUGGUAAACGUAAUCUUAGUAUCUUCUCUGCCACAUUGUUUUGACAGAAAAGGAAAAAGAUAAAUUAAAGCAUAAAACAAUUCCAAAUAUUCACUUCCUUUCCUGCUACAGAAAGGCCGUCUUUACAUUCGUACUUCCUCAGAUAAUGCUGAUACUGUUGUC
rnacentral:lncRNA from 7 species